CCCCAGGGGGCAAAUCACAGGCCUCAUUGUUGGGACCAGCAGUUAGUUGGCUGGUCUUUGUGGAGUGGCCUCCAGGACCAGAGGCCAGACCAGGCUGGUUGUUCUAGGGAGCAGGAAAGGACCCCAACAGGAGGCAUGACCCCUCCAUAGAAACAAAUAUGCACAAGAGAACUGGACAAUUACAGAGCAAUUCCUCCUUCCACCAGCAGGAAGGAGGAGAUACCAGUGCCCUGGAUAGACAGUCAGAUGAGGGAGCAGGAGCCCGGCAGGGCGGGGGCGGGGUGGGGAGGCUCUCCCAGGCUCCGUCAUGUGCUUGCUGACCUUGGCCAGGUCAUCGACAUUCAUCUUGGGCACCCUGGGAAGCCACAGCUGAGAAAUGUGGGGGAGUUGGGGGAGGACAUCUCAUGGUGCAGAUGGGGAGCCCGAUGCCCCGCGAGGGACAAGGCCUCACCUACAAGCCUAGCCGAAGCGGGCCAGAACUGUGGGCCUGCUGACUCUCAGCCAGGAUUGCCUUCUGCAACAGAGUUUGGAAGUGAACCACUUUAUUCUUCCAGUGCCAUCCCUGCUAUGCUUGGUAGUCAUCCUCAUGGGACCAAGGGGUGCACUUCUCCCUGGGCCACAGUGCAGGUUCUCAUGGGAUGCUGCAGCCACGGCCACUGGCCUCAUCUUCCUGUUUUGGGGGGUCCACCCUGGCGCUCUGGCAGGCUGACAUUGUGGGGCACACAGGUGCUGGCUCUGGGGAGUGGAUGGGCCUUUCCCACCCUCCUGGGACUCACACCUGCAUCCCACCUCACUCCCAACCAUGGCUGCCCCCCCCACCCCGAAACCAUGGGCCCCUUCACGCUCCUGCUUUGUGCUGCUCUCCUUUCAUCUGCCUCGCAAAUGCCCCCUCACAAUUCGAACCCAGCUCACAUCCUCAGGCCCCCGCGGCCCCAUCACAUCCCCUUCUGCAGCCUGAGAGCAGCUCUGGGCCAGGCACCCAGCCCAGGACAUGCUAGAGUGACCUCAGUGCUGCCAGGGUGUGAUAGUGACGGGAGGACCCUGUGGGCGGUUCUCAGACCCAUUGUCCAUGGAGCAGCUGUUCUAGGAGCUGCACAUUCUUCCUCCCCAAGCCUUUGUCUGCCCUCUCCUCAGGGCCAGGAGCCUGACAAGGGGGUGGGAGGGAA
rnacentral:lncRNA from 1 species